rnacentral:rRNA from 1 species
CGCCUAAAGGUGUAUCAUACAUGUUUGAUAUACGCCUAAGGAUGGGGCUGCGGCCGAUCAGGCUGUUGGUGAGGUAAUGGCUCACCAAACCUUUGACCGGUACGGGCCAUGAGAGUGGUAGCCCGGAGAUGGACACUGAGACAAGGGUCCAGGCCCUAAGGGGCGCAGCAACCGCGAAACCUCCACAAUGCACUCACGUGCGAUGGGGCUAUCUCGAGUGCCACCUGAUGAAGGUGGCUUUUCCUAGGUCUUCAAAGCCUUGGGAAUAAGAGGGGGGCAAGACUGGUGUCAGCCGCCGCGGUAACACCAGCCCCUCGAGUGGUGGGGAUGAUUAUUUGGCCUAAAGCGUCCGUAGCCGGCCGAGCAAGUCUUCCGUUAAAUCCAGCGUCUCGAGCGUUGGACUGCGGGAGAUACUACACGGCUAGAGAGUGGGAGAGGUCAGCGGUAUUCUGGGGGUAGGGGCGAAAUCCUUUGAUCCCCGGAGGACCACCAGUGGCGAAGGCUGCUGACUAGAACACGUCUGACGGUCAGGGACGAAAGCUGGGGUAGCGAACCGGAUCAGAUACCCGGGUAGUCCCAGCCGUAAACGAUGCAUGCUAGGUGUUGGGUUGGCCACGAGCCACCCCAGUGCCGCAGGGAAGCCGUUAAGCAUGCCGCCUGGGAAGUACGAUCGCAAGAUUGAAACUUAAAGGAAUUGGCGGGGGAGCACCACCAGGCGUGAAGCCUGCGGUUUAAUUGGAGUCAACGCCGGA